UACGUAGGCAGCGAGCGUUGUUCGGAAUUACUGGGCGUAAAGAGUGUGUAGGCGGUGCUCUAAGUUCGGUGUGAAAUCUCCUGGCUCAACUGGGAGGGUGCGCCGGAAACUGGAGUGCUUGAGCGUGGGAGAGGAAAGCGGAAGUUCCUGGUGUAGCGGUGAAAUGCGUAGAUAUCAGGAGGAACACCUGUGGUGUAGACGGCUUUCUGGACCAUAGCUGACGCUGAGACACGAAAGCGUGGGGUAGCAAACAGG
rnacentral:rRNA from 1 species